UACAGAGGGUUCGAGCGUUAAUCGGAAUUACUGGGCGUAAAGCGCACGUAGGCGGCUUGGUAUGUCGGGUGUGAAAUCCCCGGGCUCAACCUGGGAACUGCAUCCGAAACUGUCUUGCUAGAGUAUGGGAGAGGGAAGUGGAAUUUCCGGUGUAGCGGUGAAAUGCGUAGAUAUCGAGAGGAACACCUGCGGCGAAGGCGGGUUGCUGGGCUGACACUGACGCUGAUGUGCGAAAGCUAGGGGAGCGAACGGG
rnacentral:rRNA from 1 species